UACGUAGGGACCGAGCGUUGUCCGGAUUCAUUGGGCGUAAAGAGCUCGUAGGCGGCCACUCAAGUCGAAUGUGAAACCUCGAGGCUUAACCUCGAGCCUGCAUUCGAUACUGGGCGGCUAGAGUCUGGUAGGGGGAUCUGGAAUUCCUGGUGUAGCGGUGGAAUGCGCAGAUAUCAGGAGGAACACCGGUGGCGAAGGCGGUCUGCUGGGCAGUAGCUGACACUGAGGCGCGACAGCGUGGGGAGCAAACAGG
rnacentral:rRNA from 1 species